CCUUCUGGAGUUUGGCAGAGGGGGGUAGAAUUCCACGUGUAGCAGUGAAAUGCGUAAAGAUGUGGAGGAAUACCGAUGGCGAAGGCAGCCCCCUGGGCCAAUACUGACGCUCAUGCACGAAAGCGUGGGGAGCAAACAGGAUUAGAUACCCUGGUAGUCCACGCCCUAAACGAUGUCAACUAGGUGUUGGAGGGGUUAAACCUUUUAGUGCCGUAGCUAACG
rnacentral:rRNA from 1 species